rnacentral:rRNA from 1 species
GUGAGGUGAGGAAUAACCGGCGAGAAAUCGCCGACAAGACCGCAUAGCCUCAGUGCAAGCUGAGGAAAGCUCUCGCAAGGGAGCGCCACACGAGGAGCCUGCGCCCGAUUAUGCUAGCUGGUGGAGUAACGGUUCACCAGGGCGGCGAUCGGCAGCUGGUCUGAGAGGACGAGCAGCCACACUGGGAUUGAGAACGGCCCAG